rnacentral:rRNA from 1 species
GACGAACGCUGGCGGCGUGCUUAACACAUGCAAGUCGAACGGAAAGGCCCUGCUUUUGUGGGGUGCUCGAGUGGCGAACGGGUGAGUAACACGUGAGUAACCUGCCCUUGACUUUGGGAUAACUUCAGGAAACUGGGGCUAAUACCGGAUAGGAGCUCCUGCUGCAUGGUGGGGGUUGGAAAGUUUCGGCGGUUGGGGAUGGACUCGCGGCUUAUCAGCUUGUUGGUGGGGUAGUGGCUUACCAAGGCUUUGACGGGUAGCCGGCCUGAGAGGGUAACCGGCCACAUUGGGACUGAGAUACGGCCCAGACUCCUACGGGAGGCAGCAGUGGGGAAUAUUGCACAAUGGGCGGAAGCCUGAUGCAGCAACGCCGCGUGCGGGAUGACGGCCUACGGGUUGUAAACCGCUUUCGCCUGUGACGAAGCGUGAGUGACGGUAAUGGGUAAAGAAGCACCGGCUAACUACGUG